AUUGAACGCUGGCGGCAGGCCUAACACAUGCAAGUCGAACGGUAACAGGAAGAAGCUUGCUUCUUUGCUGACGAGUGGCGGACGGGUGAGUAAUGUCUGGGAAACUGCCUGAUGGAGGGGGAUAACUACUGGAAACGGUAGCUAAUACCGCAUAAUGUCGCAAGACCAAAGAGGGGGACCUUCGGGCCUCUUGCCAUCGGAUGUGCCCAGAUGGGAUUAGCUAGUAGGUGGGGUAACGGCUCACCUAGGCGACGAUCCCUAGCUGGUCUGAGAGGAUGACCAGCCACACUGGAACUGAGACACGGUCCAGACUCCUACGGGAGGCAGCAGUGGGGAAUAUUGCACAAUGGGCGCAAGCCUGAUGCAGCUAUGCCGCGUGUAUGAAGAAGGCCUUCGGGUUGUAAAGUACUUUCAGCGGGGAGGAAUGGAGUAAAGUUAAUACCUUUGCUCAUUGACGUUACCCGCAGAAGAAGCACCGGCUAACUCCGUG
rnacentral:rRNA from 1 species